CCGGAGCGCUCCGCCCGCCCGCCGGGUGCAGGCCGGGCCGGCAGGAUGCUGAACGUGCCGCCGCAGGCCUUCCCCGCGCCCGGCUCCCAACAGCGGGCGGCCGCGGGCGGCCGCACCAAGGUUCCUUUAAAACCAGGAAGGAGUCUUAUGGAUUGGAUUCGAUUAACUAAAAGUGGAAAGGACCUGACUGGUUUAAAAGGGAGGCUGAUCGAAGUUAGCGAAGAUGAGCUUGCUAAGCACAACAAGAAGGAAGAUUGCUGGAUAUGUAUAAGAGGACUCGUAUACAAUGUCACACCGUACAUGGAAUAUCAUCCCGGUGGUGAGGAUGAACUAAUGAAAGCAGCUGGAACUGAUGGUACAGAUCUUUUUGACCAGGUUCAUCGUUGGGUCAAUUAUGAAUCGAUGCUGAAGGAAUGUCUUGUUGGGAGAAUGGCUUUCAAGCCUAUUGCUGCUCCAAAAGACAUUUCUUCUACCCCGCCUGAAGAGAAAAAACAGCUUAAUGGUAUGCUCUCUGAGAGGGAAGUACUGGGUGCUUCUGCUAGAGAUACAACUCCAAGUUAUGACUGGUUUCAAACAGAUGAUUUGAUCACUGUUGUCAUAUAUACUAAGCAGAAGGGUAUGAAUGCAGAGUUGGUGAUAGUGGACUGUCAACACAAAAGACUAAGGGGAGAGAUCAUCCUGGAUGAUCAUUCAUAUCUUGUAGAAGUUGACUUGGAUCAUGAAGUUCAAGAUGACUUUGCUGUAAAUAUUGCUGAAAAAGUUGGGAAGGUGGAGAUUAUUUUGAAGAAAAAGGAUCAUAUUCAAUGGAAAGUGCUGGGAUUGCCUUUGGAGAGUCACAAUACGCUUCUCAGGCGCAUGGAAAGAGGAUUGUUCUACAGGAAAUGCAAGUUGGUUUCUAAGACAGAAGUUACCCAUGACACCAAGCUCUUCUGCUUUAUGCUGCCUAAGAGCACUCAUCUCCAGGUUCCCAUUGGACAACACGUUUACCUCAAACAAAUCAUUGCAGGGACAGAAGUAGUAAAACCAUAUACACCUUUAUUGCCUUUUUUGCCACUGGAUUUCAAAGAACCAUUUUGCCAGGAUGGUGCGCAUAUAUAUUUAAUGAUCAAAAUUUAUUCCUGUGGAUUGUUUACACAGGCACUUGACCACCUACAAAUAGGUGAUGAUAUUUCUGUCAGCAAUCCUGAAGGUAACUUCAAGAAGUCACAAGUUGAAGCUCUAGAAGACCUCUUUUUAUUGGCAGCAGGCACAGGCUUCACACCAAUGGUUAAACUGCUGAAUUUUGCUCUGGCUAAAGUUGAUUGUCUCCGGUCUGUCAUUUCCUAUCUAUACUGAACGUGGAAUGCAGUCGAUUGUCUUCCUGUCUGCAAUAUCCUUUUGUAUAUGAAGCCAUAACGAUUUUAGUUCAGUCUUGUUUCGUCUCUUACUGGCCAGAUUGUAUUAGGACACAGUAUUCCUUUCAGAAGAAUAUUUGCACAGUUUUUUCCUAUUUGAGAUUUUUGUUCCUUUUUACUUGUGCUGUAUUGCUAUGAUCAGCUGGAUGCAUUUCAUAAAGAAGGUUGAGGCACAGAGGCACUAAGCACUCAGCAGAGGGCUAACACUUCUCUAGAAGUCUGUUCUUCAUUCUCUUUGAUAGCUGUCUUGUUUUUAGGUUUCAUUCCUAAAUUACCACAUCAAUUUUAUAUUCAUUCUUAAUACAGUGUUCCACUUUUGUCAGCAUUCUUUUCUGUUUUAGAAGCUGGUUUUACAACAUUCUCUACUUCUUCUUCCUCUGUGUUCAUGUAAGGAUCGUUUUUGUUCCUCUGUCUGUGCACCCUUCUUUAAGACCUUUCAUAGCAAUUUACAGAGCUCAUUGUUAUCAUCCCCGGAUGAUGCGGUAUGUUUGACUCCCAUCAACUUUCAAAAAACUGACAGUUCCUCAUUCUUUUUCUGAUCUGAAGCUCCAUCAUUGUUCUCUCAAAUACGUCUUCUCUACCAAUAAGGAUCAUAUCUAAAUCUCUACAUCUUCCGUUUAGCUGCCUUCUCCCUCUUUUGUAGCAGUACUCUUAGCAGUUAAUUCCAAGUUUUGGGGGUAUUUAUUUUCUUUAUAACAUGUUCUGAGCAGCACUGCACCAGAUAAAUGUGUAUACAAUGAGUACAGAAUGUCAGUAAGAGUGUGCAGAAUUAUUUCUUGCACAUCCUGGUUCCUGCCUUUUUACUCAAGGAAUAAAUUCUAUGGCUUUCCCGUGUGUGUUUCUGUUGACUUUUUUCCUCACCUGAGCAGUGCUUGAUGCGGUGGAGCAUCACCCCAGCUCUGACAGCAUUACAUUCUUGAAGACAGUGAAGCUGAUCUUCUUCAACAAAAAAGAUGAUGACAUACUUUGGAGAAACCAGCUAGAGCAAUUAGCUCUUAAAGAUGAA